rnacentral:lncRNA from 1 species
CUCUUUUAGUACAAAAUUUACACUGGACUAAUGAAGACAUUUUACUUGUAACAAGAAAACAAGUUCGGUGACACCAUGUUUUCUUUUUAUUUUCUUAAAACAUAUUAUGAAACCUAUCUUCUCACAAUUUAUUUCAAAAUUCCAUCUCAUAGUAUUUUUUAAUGCACACUAAUGUGGUUACCAAGCAUAAGUCACCGAAAGGCAUUCACCAUUAGCAAAACUCAUACCGCAUAGUAAGCUUUAAAAGGUCCUGGUAGGGAAAAUGUGAUAUAAAUCAAACUCGAAAAUCCAAGGCCCAAUUUAUGAUGCAAUAACAAACGAACAAUAAUCGACGCAAAACCCUGAAUCUCAAACGCCCUCAAUUUCUCACAUGCGCAGAAUAUAGUGAGAUGAGAUAUGUUUGUGAGCGAUAAACUCUUCCCCUACGCUGGUUUUGUAACACGACAACAUAAGAACAAACUUUAAAAAUCAAAUGGGAAUGACUGAACUCAUCAUAUUACCGAGGAACACAGC